UAACGCGUGGGUAACCUGCCAUAUACAGGGGGAUAACACUUAGAAAUAGGUGCUAAUACCGCAUAAGCGCACGGAGCUGCAUGGCUCANUGUGAAAAACUCCGGUGGUAUAUGAUGGACCCGCGUCUGAUUAGCUUGUUGGCGGGGUAACGGCCCACCAAGGCGACGAUCAGUAGCCGGCCUGAGAGGGUGGACGGCCACAUUGGGACUGAGACACGGCCCAAACUCCUACGGGAGGCAGCAGUGGGGAAUAUUGGACAAUGGGGGGAACCCUGAUCCAGCGACGCCGCGUGAGUGAAGAAGUAUUUCGGUAUGUAAAGCUCUAUCAGCAGGGAAGAAAGAAAUGACGGUACCUGACCAAGAAGCCCCGGCUAACUACGUGCCAGCAGCCGCGGUAAUACGUAGGGGGCAAGCGUUAUCCGGAUUUACUGGGUGUAAAGGGAGCGUAGACGGUAAUGCAAGUCUGGAGUGAAAUGCAGGGGCUCAACCCCUGAACUGCUUUGGAAACUGUAUGACUGGAGUGCAGGAGAGGUAAGUGGAAUUCCUAGUGUAGCGGUGAAAUGCGUANAUAUUAGGAGGAACACCAGUGGCGAAGGCGGCUUANUGGACUGUAACUGACGUUGAGGCUCGAAAAGCGUGGGGAGCANACNGGAUUAGAUACCCUGGUAGU
rnacentral:rRNA from 1 species